rnacentral:rRNA from 1 species
ACGGGGUGCAGCAGGCGCGAAACCUCCGCAAUACACGAAAGUGUGACGGGGUUACCCAAAGUGUUCAAUUUUGAACUGUGGUAGGUGAGUAAUGUUCCCUACUAGAAAGGAGAGGGCAAGGCUGGUGCCAGCCGCCGCGGUAAAACCAGCUCUUCAAGUGGUCGGGAUAAUUAUUGGGCUUAAAGUGUCCGUAGCCGGUUUAGUAAGUUCCUGGUAAAAUCGGGUAGCUUAACUAUCUAUAUGCUAGGAAUACUGCUAUACUAGAGGGCGGGAGAGGUCUGAGGUACUACAGGGGUAGGGGUGAAAUCUUAUAAUCCUUGUAGGACCACCAGUGGCGAAGGCGUCAGACUGGAACGCGCCUGACGGUGAGGGACGAAAGCCAGGGGAGCGAACCGGAUUAGAUACCCGGGUAGUCCUGGCCGUAAACGAUGCAUACUAGGUGAUGGCACGGCCAUGAGCCGUGUCAGUGCCGUAGGGAAACCGUUAAGUGUGCCGCCUGGAAGUACGUCGCAAG